rnacentral:rRNA from 1 species
CAUUAAACAUGCAGUCGAACGGCAGCGGGAAAGUAGCUUGCUACUUUUGCCGGCGAGUGGCGAACGGGUGAGUAAUGUAUCGGAACGUGCCCAGUAGCGGGGGAUAACUACGCGAAAGCGUGGCUAAUACCGCAUACGCCCUACGGGGGAAAGGGGGGGAUCUUAGGACCUCUCACUAUUGGAGCGGCCGAUAUCGGAUUAGCUAGUUGGUGGGGUAAAGGCCUACCAAGGCGACGAUCCGUAGCUGGUUUGAGAGGACGACCAGCCACACUGGGACUGAGACACGGCCCAGACUCCUACGGGAGGCAGCAGUGGGGAAUUUUGGACAAUGGGGGAAACCCUGAUCCAGCCAUCCCGCGUGUGCGAUGAAGGCCUUCGGGUUGUAAAGCACUUUUGUCAGGGAAGAAAAGGUUUCGGAUAAUACCCGGAACUGAUGACGGUACCUGAAGAAUAAGCACCGGCUAACUACGUGCCAGCAGCCGCGGUAAUACGUAGGGUGCAAGCGUUAAUCGGAAUUACUGGGCGUAAAGCGUGCGCAGGCGGUUCGGAAAGAAAGAUGUGAAAUCCCAGGGCUCAACCUUGGAACUGCAUUUUUAACUACCGAACUAGAGUAUGUCAGAGGGGGGUGGAAUUCCACGUGUAGCAGUGAAAUGCGUAGAUAUGUGGAGGAACACCGAUGGCGAAGGCAGCCCCCUGGGAUAAUACUGACGCUCAUGCACGAAAGCGUGGGGAGCAAACAGGAUUAGAUACCCUGGUAGUCCACGCCCUAAACGAUGUCAACUAGCUGUUGGGCCCUUCGGGGCUUAGUAGCGCAGCUAACGCGUGAAGUUGACCGCCUGGGGAGUACGGUCGCAAGAUUAAAACUCAAAGGAAUUGACGGGGACCCGCACAAGCGGUGGAUGAUGUGGAUUAAUUCGAUGCAACGCGAAAAACCUUACCUACCCUUGACAUGUCUGGAAUCCUGAAGAGAUUUAGGAGUGCUCGCAAGAGAACCGGAACACAGGUGCUGCAUGGCUGUCGUCAGCUCGGGUCGUGAGAUGUUGGGUUAAGUCCCGCAACGAGCGCAACCCUUCA